rnacentral:rRNA from 1 species
UAGGAUUAGAUACCCUAUUAUUGAAAAAGUAAAUAAAAAAUACUAAAAUAUUAUAUAAUUAUUUAUUGAAACUUAAAUAAUUUGGCGGUAUUUUAGUUCAUUUAGAGGAAUCUGUUUAAUAAUUGAUAAUCCACGAAUAAAUUUACUUAAUUUAAAAUUUUGUAUAUCGUUGUUAUAUAAAUAUUUUUAAAUAAUUAAUAAUAUUUAAAAAUUUAAUUAAAAAAUUAAAUUAGAUCAAGAUGCAGAUUAUAAUUAAGUAUAUAAUGGAUUACAAUAAAAAUAUUUAAGAUGAAUAUUAAUUUUUAAUAAUUAAUUGAA